GGCCAGGGUUUUCUCCACUCCAUGCCUGCUGACCAGUUCAGAGGAUGAUAGAGACAGAGCCAAGUUGCAGGCCAUGGUCCGAGAAGGGAAGGCUGCAUCGAGGAAGUCAACUGACAACUCCAAUGGUGGUGUCACCAAGAGGACUUUGGCUUCCUUGACCACAGUGCACACUUCAAGGACAGAGGACUCCUGGGAAGGGAUGGCAUCCACCUCACACAGAGAGAGUUCAUCCAAUUAAAGAUGUCACCCACAAGAAUUCUGGCCUGCAGCAUAUUCUCUGGACCACCAUAGCAACAUCACAUCAACACUUAUCAACAAAGUAAUAAAUGAAACAUAAACAAUAAACAAUUACUGCAUAGUCA